CAGCCGCCGCGGUAAUACGUAGGGUGCGAGCGUUAAUCGGAAUUACUGGGCGUAAAGCGUGCGCAGGCGGUUUUGUAAGACAGGCGUGAAAUCCCCGGGCUCAACCUGGGAAUGGCGCUUGUGACUGCAAAGCUAGAGUGCGGCAGAGGGGGAUGGAAUUCCGCGUGUAGCAGUGAAAUGCGUAGAUAUGCGGAGGAACACCGAUGGCGAAGGCAAUCCCCUGGGCCUGCACUGACGCUCAUGCACGAAAGCGUGGGGAGCGAACAGGAUUAGAUACCCCCGUAGUCCCUGUCUCUUAUAC
rnacentral:rRNA from 1 species